rnacentral:rRNA from 1 species
AGCGUAGGCAGUCAAGCAAGUCAGAGGUGAAAGGCAUCGGCUCAACCGAUGUAAGCCUUUGAAACUGUUUGACUUGAGUGCAGGAGAGGUAAGUGGAAUUCCUAGUGUAGCGGUGAAAUGCGUAGAUAUUAGGAGGAACACCAGUGGCGAAGGCGACUUACUGGACUGUAACUGACGCUGAGGCUCGAAAGCGUGGGGAGCGAACA